rnacentral:rRNA from 1 species
ACGGAGGAUCCAAGCGUUAUCCGGAUUUAUUGGGUUUAAAGGGUGCGCAGGCGGCCUUAUAAGUCAGUGGUGAAAUCUCUCGGCUCAACCGAGAAACUGCCAUUGAUACUGUAAGGCUAGAAUCUAGACGAAGUAGGCGGAAUGUAGCAUGUAGCGGUGAAAUGCUUAGAUAUGCUACAGAACACCGAUCGCGAAGGCAGCUUACUAGACUAGUAUUGACGCUAAGGCACGAAAGCGUGGGGAGCGAACAGG